GGCACAACUAAUGCAAUCAAACGCAGCCCGCACCGCCUACGGCUAUCCGACUGUCAUCUUUACCCGAUUUCACAUGGAAACGCCGUCGCGCACUCGGCCGUAUAAAGUUUUACCCUGAUCGGACGAUGCCUAGAAUCUUGAGGAGGAGUAUUCCUGCUAACUUUUUCAGUGAGGAAGAGCUGGAAAAUAAAGUCCGGUCAAUCGACGAUAUUUAACUCCGAACUGUUAUGGAAAGUUGAAAAUAUGCUUUACAAGGUGGUAAUUAGUAUGUAUAACCUCACGAAGUGCGUAAUAUCCACAUGGCACGGUGAAACUUGGCAAAUUGAGAUUCCAAUCGCGGAUGCGCAAGUUUCGACGCAUUUUCGUGCAGCCUAAUCACAUCAAGAUUCAGCCAUCGGAUGUGGCUUGUGGAGUUAAGCAGAGGUCGAACAUAUAUGUAGUCAAGAAAAGCUCGGUAAGCUUUUUAUUGGUGACUGUGAGAUGACUUUUGCAGGUUAUGGUUACAACAUCAUUUUAACUCAUCACUUGAUGUGGCCGAGUUUCAUGACCCGAUUUGAAGUGGGAAAAAACUAACCUGUAUAAAGCUUGAAGUGGCCGUUGGCUAAUCCAUUCGCCGACAAAGCGUCGUAGUCGUACAAACACAUCCAUUCCCCGCUCAGUAAGUUCUAUGAGGACGUCCAGUCGGUAUAAAUUGCUGUAUAAACCACAGCCAAGGCAAAAACAUGCCUACGCGAGAAUUCAUAAAACCUGGUAUGUUUUGUUCGCUAUUUGUAUAACCAGCGUCAACUAUCAUCAAGCAUACGAGUAUCUAUGCAGUGGGAAGUGUAAAAAAAAAGAAAAAAAAAUGUUCAUUUCACAACAACAGAUAUAUUUAUACAUAGAUAUACCCGUUUCGCAUUGCAGGCUGAAUUUUUAUAGUCGACCAGUCGACUGCAUAUUAUGAAUAAUAAACAACGUCUAAUAACUCGGCAAAGUACCGGUCAGAUUAGGAAUCGCUGAUAUGCCCGCAUCGCAGGUACGACACAUUUUACUGCACAAUGGUGUAGCUUGUUUGUUAAUUCGUUGCGCAACAGGCUCGCCGAACGCGAGAUGAUGCAGUGAUGAUUAUUGAUCACCGAUACGUACAGGCGAAUGAUGCACAUGCCUUCCUUGUAUUAUGCAGAUACGUCUCUACCGCGAAUAAAUAAUGAUUGUUUACCCACUGGCACGAACGUCGCGUCUCGCCUUGUU